rnacentral:rRNA from 1 species
CUUUUGUUGCGAAAAGGGCUUGGAGAAUUGAGCAAGUCCCUAUACUAGGCUUUAAAAGCCCCUCUCUUUUAUAUACUUGCCUAUAUAAUGAUAAUACAAUAAUUUCUAUUCUAAGUAGGUUCCUAUUUUGAGAGUUAUUAAAGUAUUGUAUAUAAGUAUAGAAUUCGACAGAUAAGCCCGUUCUCUAGGGUGGAAACACUGUAUUAGAAUACACCAAAACUCAAUGAACUAAAAGAUUUUACUAGUUGAAGGAAAAGAAACCAACCGGGAUUGCGUUAGUAGUACAGAGCGAAAGCGCAUCAGCUUAAUGAAAUAUUUUUUGUUUACGGUCGAACUUAAGUGAAAUCCAGACCAGAGAAAGUUAUAGUCUUGUAGGUUGUAAACAAAAAAAGUGCUGUAAUUAUUUAUAAGCAUGCUACUAUUUAUUAUAAUAUCUUUGAAAAAUACAUAAUAAGGAUUAAUAAGGAUUAAUAAGGAUUAAUAAGGAUUAAUAAGGAUUAAUAAGGAUUAAUAAGGAUUAAUAAGGAUUAAUAAGGAUUAAUAAGGUAAUAAAUAGGCUUUAAGAAUUAAAUUAGUGGUAUAACGCUGCUAGUUAUAAACGGAAACCACUCCGUUGGCUAAAUAUUCUAUGUAGAUCGAUAGUGAAUCAGUACUGUAAAGGAAUUUGGAAACAAGAAUGCCAUUGCUUCUCUGAAUACAAGUCCCGAAACAGGUUGCUUAUAAUGACUUUCAGUUUGGCUGUUAUAGUGUUGAAUAGAAAGGUUCCUUUUGAAUCAUGAGCUGAUGACUUUGUGUUAGUUUAAGACAUAGAUUAACAGUUCUCUUUUUAUCUUCAGGGUCAAAAGUGGGUAAUCUAAGUAGCUUAAUUUAUUAAAAGUAAGCUUAUUAUGAAAGUAUUCAUAGAAAACUAACACAAAACGCGAAACGAAGUGAGCUUAAGUAGACCAGGGGGAAGGUUACCGGAAGGUAGUUGGACGCCCGAAGUGGUAUGCGUUGCAACGCAUUCAUAUGAGUUUAUUUAAGUGGCGAAAUACCAAUCGAACUUCGAAAUAUCUCGUUUUUUGCGAAACCUUUUUAGGAAGGGGGCCUGUAAAAUAAAUGCUAACUAGGUAGAGCGCUGUAAAACUGAUGGGAAGGAAACUUUUACUGAGGUGUUGCAAACCACAAAUUAGGAGCAUUUUAUUAGGUACUCAGUCAGUGCGGGACAAGCUGCAUUUGACAAGAAGGAAACAGCCUAGACUAUCAAUUAAGGCCCGAAAAUAGCACUAAGUGAGAAAGUAAUUGACUUCACAAAAAUUAGUAGGACGUUUGAUUAGUAGCAUCUACCGUUUAAAGAAAGCGUAAUAGCUCACUACUAUAGUUUAGUUGUUGCAAAAAUUUAGCCGGACUAAGCGCUAUGCCGAAAUUAUAGCUAACAGGAUCUUACUUAAAAGCCGGUUAGAGUAGCAAAACGAACCAUGUUGACAAAGUUAUGUCGGUAAGACUUAAUGAAAAUAUUGGUUGUGAAUAUAUCAGCUAGAGUAACAUAUAAAUUGAGACUUUCAAUAAAUAGCGUUAAUAUAAAAGACAUAAACAAGAUUGAUAUAAAGCUCUAUUAACUUGAAAGAAUAUUAUCUCAAUGAUCGAAAAUCCUGGGUUUUCUACACAACUAUUAAAGAUGUAGUUAAAAAGACGGUCCCUAAGUAAUAUUUAGGUUACGAUGGGUACCUGCUAUGCCCAAUAAAAUCUAGUAUGUAGAUCUGUUGCAGGAAAAAAUAGCAGGCAAUUUAUACAAAAAUUGUAAUACAGUAAUACCGUACUAAAACUGACUCUGGUGGAUUUGUAGAUUUUACUUAGAUUUGGUUAUAAUCGUUCGUAAGGAACUCGGCAAAUUGCGCUGGUACUUUCGAAAACAGCGGUCUAAAAAAACCUUUUAGAUCUCAGAUAAUAGAACUGGGUGACAGUUUACUAAAAACUUAGCGUCCUGCCAAUUUGAAACAAGACGUAUAGGAUGUGACGUUUGCUAACGGCCACUAAUUUAAGUAAUUUGUUGUAACAGAUAAAUCAACAAGAUGUGGUGACGAGCGGCCGUAACUAUAACGGUCAUAAAGUAGCGAAAUUCCUAGGCAUUUAAUUGGUGUCCUGCAUGAAUAACGUAACAACCUGGUUGCUGUCUCGCGAGCGAAAACCGUGAAAUAAGAAUAUCGGUCAAAAUACCGAUUAGGCUAUCUUAGACGAUAAGACCCUGUGAAGCUUUACUGUAACCUAACAUUGCGAUCGGUUUUUUAUCUUACAGUUAGGCGGGAGGCAAUGCCAACAAUGGAAAACCGCUAGAUAAUAAAUUGAUCGCUUUUAUAUAAGAAUACUUUUUUAAUCUAUAAGAUAUUUAUGUAAGGCGCUUCAUAUAAGGAAUUUUAUGCAAAUAGAGUAUACUUUAUGUAAACCCUCAUAUAAAACACUUUAAUUAACAAAGCUCGAAGACAGUGUUAGGUGGGCAGUUUACUUGGGGCGAGGUCUGGCUAAAAAGUAACGCCAGAGAGCAAAAGGUAUGCUCAGUAUUGUCGGAAACAAUAUGUAGAGCGUAAUAGUAUAAGCAUGCCUGAUUAUAAGACUGACAAGUCGAAUAAAGACGAAAGUCUGCUAUAGUGACCCUCACACGCUAUGUGGAAAGGUGUGAGAUCAACGAAUCAAAGUUACUCCAGGGAUAACAGGGUAGUCCUGGCUUAUAGUUCUUAUAGACGCCAGGGUUCGCCACCUCGAUGUUGCCUCAGGUCAUCCUAGAGCUGCACAAGGUUCUAAGGGCGCAACUGUUCUUUGCAUAAUGACCUACGUGAGGUGAGUUUAAACCGCCGUAAGGCAGGUUUGGUUCUAUCUAGAUAGCCAUAAUAUUUAACCAAGCACUAGAAUUCCACUGUACGAAAGGACCCGGAAUUCCACGCCAAUGGUUUAGCAAUUGUUUUGAAAAAAGCACGGUUGCAACGCUAAGCGUGAAAUGUUAAUUGCUGAAAAACUAUCAAGCAAGAAACAAUUGUAAAGGUUAUAGAAAAUCGCAUUUGCGUAAAUAGGCGCGGGGUGUACGCUUUGCAAGAAGCUCAGCUACCGCGUACUAAUUUUUUUUUUUUUAUCAUAGCU